rnacentral:rRNA from 1 species
UACAGAGGGUGCGAGCGUUAAUCGGAAUUACUGGGCGUAAAGCGUGCGUAGACGGUUAUUUAAGUCGGAUGUGAAAGCCCCGGGCUCAACCUGGGAAUUGCAUUCGAGACUGAAUAGCUAGGGUGCGGUAGAGGGAAGCGGAAUUUCCGGUGUAGCGGUGAAAUGCGUAGAUAUCGGGAGGAACACCAGUGGCGAAGGCGACUACCUGGCCUGUUCUUGACGCUGAGGCGCGAAAGCUAGGGGAGCAAACGGG